rnacentral:miRNA from 1 species
UCGGAAUUGUUUGUGUACCUGU